rnacentral:lncRNA from 1 species
AAGACACGCCCUACUGACCCCCCCCCCUUUGUUUUUUUGAAUUUUUUCUGUCAGGGAUCGAAAAAAAACGUCGAUCCAUGUCGGAGAAUGGGUGUCCGUUAUUUUGCGUGAUUUCCAAUGCCAGAUUUGUUUCACACACACACACACACAUACUUUUGUUUCGAAGUGACCCUGCUUCGUCGGGAUUGUUCGGUUGCGGAUCAGUUCGAUGUAUUUUUUUUCGUUCCCUGCAGCAGCGCCUCGGCGACAGACUAGGCUGCUCUAGCGGAAUUGGAGAUUGCGUUGCCUAGACUGCGAGAUGGGGAGAGAGAGCGGACGGGAAGAAACCCAUGACGAAACCCAACAGUGUGUGUGGGAUUCUCACACCAUCGCCGACAUCGCUCGAUGAAGUUGGGCGCGGAAUGGUAUCUGGAUGGACCAGUGAAUGAAUACGAGUCCAUCGAGAUGGGUUGUGACGAGAAGACGUUGUGAUCCUCCAUCGCCGGCUUUCUUCGAAGCUGUCGGCGCUGGUAUGCAACACAUCUUCGAAGUCGUACAUUUCGUGGAAUACCGACACCGGAGACGGAUGUAAGUUGGUUGGUCGGUCAGAUUGGAGUUGUCUGCAGAGGAUGAUUGUGAUGAGAAAAACAACAUGGCUUUGGCCUGCACUCACCCAUUUGUGUUCGAAUCAUUCCAAGUUGUAACAAUCUCACCAGUUGAUACUUUUUCUUUACAAAAUGGAAGGGUAGAAGACAGAGUUUGUAAAUGGGCGUGUCUUUGCAAAUUUUGUUUGCUGGUUUGGAGCUUCGGUGUAGCUGAAGCUUUGCUGUUUUGAUGAAGAUACUGUUGUGCAUGAUUCGAUGGAAAGAUUGCUUGUUAUUUGGAUCAAGCUUGAUUACAAAAGACCAAAUAGAGGUAAUCAAUGAUAUGUUGCCAUUGAUGCAAUUCAACUCAUGUACUUUAGUUUAAAAAAAAUAUGAAGGUAGUCCUUUGAUAUACAUAGAUGAAAAUUCUACUCAAGCAUUUGAAGGUUAACCUGGUGUUUCAAUCAUGUAACACAAUGGAAUUAACAAUCCAAAUGCUCUGAAUACACUAGUCCUCACCAUAUAUAGC